GCUCGCCUGGCAUGCGUGCGACCCGGGUUCGAUCCUCAGCACCACAUACAAACAAAGAUGUUGUGUCCGCCGAAAACUAAAAAAUAAAUAUUAAAAAUUCUCUCUCUCUCUCUCCUUCCCUCUCUCACUCUAUCUUUAAAAAAAAAAUAAUAGAGCAAAAGGACAUUCAGCCAGCCGACACUGAUGCACAUCAGCCUAGAGCCUGAUGAGGGCCUGGACUGACAUCACAACUCUUCUCAUCUGCCUGAUCCUCUGCGUUGUCCUCACCACUCUCAAACUCUACAGCAGCCUCUUGACUCUGGUGGGGAAAGUCGUUAUGACCGUCUCCUCAGCCAGCCGUCAACUCCACCUCAGGAGAAGCCUCUAUCGGUUCCUGACCUGGCCGCUGAGGUCUGAACUCUCGUUUGCAUGGAGCUUGGGGUACUUCAGAGUGGACUGAGGACCGGCCGACUUCUUGCCCAGAAUACCAGCCUCCCAGAUGCAUGGAGGAGAUGGGCCUGUGGCUUCCCCAGCUCCUACCAGAGCGCCCAGGAUAGGUGACAGAAGAGGAUGAAAACCCCCAAAUGGGACAGCAUGCAGAGGCACCCACCCAGAGCACUUGCUAGGCCCUGGGUUCAAUCCCCAGCACCACAAAACAACAAAGAAACAAACCCAAGAUGCUGACUAACUACGUGAUCACACCCAGAGCCCAGCAGCGGCCAGGCAGCCAGCACAGGUGCUUCUCUGUGGCCAGAACCUCCUUCCUCCUCUGUAGAAGAAAACCCCCAGGACCUUCCCUGGAAGAGAAGUGUGUCUUGUUGUUUGUUUGUUUAUUGAUUGAUUGGGUACUGGGAAUUGAACCUAGGA